rnacentral:rRNA from 1 species
GAUUAACGCUGGCGGCGUGCAUAACACAUGCAAGUCGAACGAUGAAACUUAAAUGAUUUCUUCGGAAUGAACUUAAGUGGAUUAGUGGCGGACGGGUGAGUAACGCGUGAGUAACCUGCCUUACACAAGGGGAUAGCCGUUGGAAACGACGAAUAAUACCCUAUGAAACUAUCACUUCGCAUGAAGCGAUAGUCAAAGUGUUAGCGGUGUAAGAUGGACUUGCGUCUGAUUAGCUAGUUGGUGAGAAAAAAGCCCACCAAGGCAACGAUCAGUAGCCGGCUUGAGAGAGUGUACGGCCAGAUUGGGACUGGGACACGGCCCAGACUCCUACGGGAGGCAGCAGUGGGGAAUUUUGCACAAUGGGGGAAACCCUGAUGCAGCGACGCCGCGUGAUUUAGAAGGCCUUCGGGUUGUAAAAAUCUUUUGUAUAGGAAGAAAAUGACAGUACUAUACGAAUAAGGUCCGGCUAAAUACGUG